CACGCAGGUGGCUGAGUAAGUCGAUUGUGAAAGCCCUGGGCUUAACCUGGGAAUUGCAUUCGAUACUGCUUGGCUAGAGUGUGGGAGAGGGAAGUGGAAUUCCCGGUGUAGCGGUGAAAUGCGUAGAUAUCGGGAGGAACAUCAGUGGCGAAGGCGGCUUCCUGGCCCAACACUGACACUCAGGUGCGACAGCGUGGGGAGCAAACA
rnacentral:rRNA from 1 species